UGCGCGUAAAAUGCCCGAAUCCUGACACAGGGAGGUAGUGACAAGAAAUAACAAUACAGGGCUACUUCUAGUCUUGUAAUUGGAAUGAGUACAACUUACAUCUCUUCACGAGGAUCAAUUGGAGGGCAAGUCUGGUGCCAGCAGCCGCGGUAAUUCCAGCUCCAAUAGCGUAUAUUAAAGUUGUUGCAGUUAAAAAGCUCGUAGUCGGAUUUCGGGGCGGGCCGAGCGGUCUGCCGAUGGGUAUGCACUGUUCGGCGCGUCCUUCUUUCCGGAGACUAGUUCUACUCUUAACUGAGCGGGACUGGGAGACGGAUCGUUUACUUUGAAAAAAUCAGAGUGUUUCAAGCAGGCAGCUCGCUCUUGCAUGGAUUAGCAUGGGAUAAUGAAAUAGGACUCUGGUGCUAUUUUGUUGGUUUCGAACACCGGAGUAAUGAUUAACAGGGACAGUCAG
rnacentral:rRNA from 1 species